rnacentral:rRNA from 1 species
AACUAGAAAGUUUUAUUUUAGCUAAUAAUAAGCGUUAUUAUAGGUAUUUAUUCAUUCUCUAAAGAAAAGUAUAAAAUUAUACAAUUAAGGUGGAUAUAACUUAUAAUAAAAGAACUGAAUAAUUAUGUGCCAGUUCUCACGGUCAAACAUAAGGUUCAAGUUUAUUAUCCCCAAAUUUUACAUAAGUAAACUAUUUGAAUAAUAAGAAUUAAUGUUUGGUUUAAUAUCAUUAAUCAGUCAAUUAAUCAAUAGUAAUAAAUCUUAGGUAAAACCAGGAUUAGAUACCCUGUUAUUUAAGGAAAAAAAUUUGGAGAUUAUAUUAACCCGUUAAGAUCUAAAUUAUAUGGCAGUUAAGAAUACAGAAUAGAGGGGUAUGUUAACUAACUCGAAACCACCCGAAAACCUUACUUACUCUAUCUUUCCCCACCUCCGUCGUUAGGAAGUUGAGAAAACACCUACAAAAGAUUGAUUGAAAUAAAAUUUAGAUUUUAUAGCAACCUUUAUUCUAUAGCUUUAAAACGUGUUUAUCGUAAGGUUAAUAAAUAAGACAGGUAAAAGUGGAGGCAAUGAGUAAGCUAUUAAUGUAUCUCAACUCAAUAGUAUAAAAGUAUUAAGAUUGAAACAAUUAAUAUAUUUGAAUUUAUUAGUAAUUAUUCCUUACCAUGGUUUAAUGAAUAUAGCAAGUCUUUUUGCACAAAUUGCCCGUCACUCUUUGGUCACUCCGAAGAUAAGUCGAAACAAAGUAAAACUACCGGAAGGUGGGUUUAUUAUAAAUAAUUUAAAUUUAAUUUUCAGUUAAA